CCGGACAUAGCUCAGUUGGUAGUAGCGGUGGACUGUAGUUGUUCUUUUAAAUAAUCAUCAUUUGUUGAUUGAAAUUUGAAAAUCUUCAACAAUGUGAUUAUUUAAGAUUAAAGAUAUCCAUAGGUCGCUGGUUCAAGUCCGGCUGUCCGGA
rnacentral:tRNA from 1 species